CAAGGGCUUUCUGAUAAUUUUAAUUUAAAAGCAAGGGUAAAUAUGUAAUUGUGUAUUUUCAAUAAUUCUAAUUUGGCUCAAAUUAAAUAGUUAGGGGCUUAAUGGAAAAACUAAAAAAAUAUUUAAGGGUUAAUUGAAAUUGUUUAGGAUGAGAUUGUUAGUAAUUAAAAAGUUGAGGAACUAAAUGGUAAAAAAUAAAAGUUUAGGGACCUAUUGUCGACAAUCGUUGAAAGAAAAGAAAAGAAGAAAAGGAGAAAGAGAGGAAGUCGACGUCGGGGGGGGGAGAAGGAAGAAGCUCACAUCGUCCAUGGCGGUAGGAGGAAGAGUCCGUCCGAGGGCGUCAUGAGCCACGGUGGCGGAAGAGCCGUACGGCGAGUCCAAUGGCAGUGUAAAAAGAAAGGGGGAGGGGGGAAGUUGAGGCGGCUGUCCGGCGCCAUUCGUGGCGUGUCCGUCGGCGCCAAGGAUGGCGAUCGGCUUGUCGGAGAGCGAGCUUUCUUUUGGCGGCAGCGGCGACGCUUCUGGUGGCCGGAAUUAGGAGAUCCGAUGGAGAGAGAAAGAAGGGGCAGCCGAUGUUCUCUGGUUUUUCCGGCGAGGGAUGGAUGAUCGAAGGACGUAUCCAGACUCUUCUCAGCUCAAGCUUCGCAAUGACACUAGUUUCGUGGUGAUCAGACUCCGUUUGCAAAUCGACGGCCUAGAUCGUUUAUAAAUGUCUCCAAUUGAUCGGGGGUCGGAUCGGAAAAUCAGAAGUAGUGAUCCUCAUCAGCGCGUCAGCUCAAGUCCGUUGGUGUGUUCGGAUCGUCGAUCGAACUCCGGCGGCUGGAGGCGAGUCGACCGAGCUAUCAAGCGUCUCGAUCCGUAAUUGUUAGUCUUCCCGCGGCUCUUAUCUAGCAACCCGACUCCUUCAUCAUCAGGUUUACUACGGGAUUCGGUGGCCUUACGCCUACUCAUUCUCUAGUGCCGGUUACGGGCCCACAGAUCGAGUCGUGAGGAGAUAUCCAAUUAGAAUUUAUCCCAUCAGAUGAGCAAUUGACAUACAUCUUAACUAAACCUCCUGAUCAAACACGAAAGUGACAGAUGAGCUGGUUUGGGUGAGUAUUAAAGGCGAAGCAAAGGAAAUCACACUAAUCUAUUAGGAAAUGUUAUGGGUUUACUAGUAGAAGGAGCAAAAAUUACUGAACAACACUAGUGACAAAGUUAUUCCCGGAUAUGACAAGAAGAGAUUCAUCUAAGAGCUGAGGGCCAAUCAACCAACUUUUGACUGAGAAGAUGUAUGUUGAGGAAGCUACUACUAUUUGAAAGAAAAGAAAAGGAAAAUUGUCUGAAAGUGAGAGUCCAGUUAGCUCCACUGAUGAAGAGAGAUAAGGAAAGAAGAUCAAGCUUGCUGAGGAACGGGCGAAAGAGAAGAGUGCUAAAAGCACCAAGGUCUCCAAGACCACUAAGAAGGGAAGAAAGCAUAGAUCUACUAAGCCCAUCCUCCAAGUUUACUACUUCAUUUCUUCUUCUUCUGUCUCAAAGCCUUUUAAUUUUUUUGACAAUUUGAACAAUAUUUGUUUAUGAAUGCUAAGUAUCAUUUUUUUUGUUGAUGACAAAGAAAUGGAGAAAUAUUUUUGCAUGUUGGAUAUGCUCAGGGGAUAUCUUGAAAUACUAUUGCAUGAACACAAAUAGGCAUCUGCAUAGGGGGAGCAUGCCUUAGAAUAAUUUGAAUAGAUUUAUUUUUAAUC